rnacentral:piRNA from 1 species
UCCAAAGUUGGUCCAGGAUGUCUG